rnacentral:rRNA from 1 species
UACAGAGGGUGCGAGCGUUAAUCGGAAUUACUGGGCGUAAAGCGUGCGUAGACGGUUAUUUAAGUCGGAUGUGAAAGCCCCGGGCUCAACCUGGGAAUUGCAUUCGAUACUGGAUAGCUAGAGUUCGGCAGAGGGAAGCGGAAUUUCCGGUGUAGCGGUGAAAUGCGUAGAUAUCGGAAGGAACAUCAGUGGCGAAAGCGGCUUCCUGGACCAGAACUGACGAUCAGGCACGAAAGCGUGGGGAGCAAACAGG